AUUGCACAAGUAUAGUAUGCAUUCUGUAUGAUGAGCAUGAUAAUAAUCAUGAUGUUGAACUUUAUGGAGGUCAACCAGCCUUAAGUGCAAGAACAAACCAAGAAUCCCUUAUUCACAGAUCCUUCUCCUAGAGCUUUAAUAUUUGAUGCACAGAGGGACUCUCAUUUCCAUAAGUGUUGCAGCAGGGACCAGAUGAUGGAAGUCGUAUGAUUCUUUGUGACACUCUCCCUAUCAGGGCUUACAAUGAAGAGGGUACCAACUGGGAAAAAGAUGUGCUUCUAGAAAGUGGUUUAAAUUUGUAUGAAGCCAGAUAAUUCAAGCAAUUUUCUCUUUUUAUAAUAUUUUUUUACAGUAAAAGAGCUUCUUUCAAUGAAAAUAGUUUUGUCUUAGUUUUAAAUAUCCGUGUGGCUCAAUAAGCACACAUUGUAGGUUUUCGAGCCUACAUGUAAAUACUGUAGUUCUUAGCGUUUACAGGUGUAUAUUACAGAUUUUAGUGUGCACAUGUUUUUUUUCCCUCUGUUGGACCACCCCUUUGCCAUGGUCAAGUGGCAUGCUUGUCUCAAUGACCCCCAGAAAUAUGCCGACAGGAGCACUAGCUCCUGGCAUGGUCACCCAUUUUGGAGAGAUCAAAAGUGGUUCACUGGUCCUCUAGGUUAAAGGGGAUGGGCAAUGGACUAACAAUUCAUUCAUAUAAAAGCAUAUGGUUACUGAAACUGGCGACAUCCCAACAAACUGUGGGACAAGUCUGAGAUGGCAAUUACAAGAUUGCGUACUGAAAAAUAUUUCAUUUAUAAUACACACUAUGCAAAAAACAGAUAUACAUGAACUACAAUUAUGUUUGUACCUGGAUUCACCUUUUCAACUGAACAAUUUUCAUUAUCACCUGAAUAAAGUAGAGAGGGAGCACUUGAACUGUUAUUGAAUAGUCCUGAGCUCAUUUCAAUAGGGGGAGAGAGCAGUAACAUUACAUUCCUCGCUUGCUGCCGACUAGAAUGAAAACCAAUACAUAGUGUACGGCAGAAUUUACUUUUAAUGAUUGCAA